AUGGAAAGCAUAACCCCCACCCCAGCCCAUUCCUUAACUAAACUAAAGUAGUUAAGAGGGUAUUAACAGUGGGCAGGCUCAGGCGUGUAGCAUUCACGGCAAUAAUCUGUUGUGUCAGGGUAUCUGUCAGGUUCUCGAACUGUUGACUCCAAUUUCCCUGAAGGUAGACACUCAGCUGCAAACCCAGGUUGCUGUUCUCUGUGAAAUUGUUGGCUAUCCUGGAGGUGAUACAUAAAGAAGAAAAGGAAUGAAUGAAUCCUAUGGAAGUUAAGGUUACUAAAUAAUCUACCUGUUCCUGCAACAGGUCCACUCUUUGGUUCACAGUUAGAAUGCCAGCUUUUAAGUGGCCAUCAAUAGAUCUUAUGGUAGUUAAUGUUGAGGCCAUUUUUUCAACAAUGUCAUUGACCGUCUCAGCUGAUUGGACCUGUGCAGCCAUGGCAAUGGCAGCAGUGCUGCUGCAGAAAGGGUAAUGGCAGUAACCAAUGCUGCAGUUAUGCCAAAAUCCCGUUUGGUUCUGAUGAUUUCCGUAAUGGGAAAUGUUCCUGUAUCCACUUUAACCGGAAUAGGAACAUACAUAGGAAUCCUCAUCACUACUGCUGUAUUAGCAGAACCAUUCCAACAUUGACUAGCAAUGCAGGAGACGUCGGUCGAAUUGCAUGAGAUCACUUCUUUGAUAGCAUCAGUAGCGUUAGCGAGCAGAAAGAAAAAAGGAGCUUUUAAACAUACUGGGCUAGCUGAAACAAUGAGAUUAUUCAAAGUUUUAUGUAUUGAUAGAUUCUUAAGAGAAGGUUCCUUCUCAUCCCUUGUACCAGAAACAUUAAGAAGUCUUAUGCAGAGAUUCUGGAGAACUGCAAAAGGUUCAAGAGAACCUUUUUGUUUUAAUAAACAUUCUUUCAAUGUGCGAUGAGCUCUUUCAACUAUUCCUUGUCCUUGGGGAUUAUAAGGUAGGCCAUGGUUUAAUUGGACUUACAUCUGUUUACAGAAGGAGGUAAAAGAUUGAGCUUGUAAGCAGGACCAUGAGUCUUUAAUUGCUGAGAUUUUCCCCAGGCAGCCCACGCCUCAAGGCAAUGUCCAAUGACAUUGUGAGCCUUUUCCCCACUCAUAGGGGUGGCAUGGAUGAUGCCUGAACAGGUAUCCACAGACACAUGGAUAUAUUUAAGAGUUCCAAAUCCUGAAAAAUGAGUUACGUCCAUUUGCCAGAUCUUCAAGGGCAGUAACCCUCUGGGAUUGACCCCCAGGCUAGGGGGGUGCAAAAAGGUUAUACACUGUUGACAAUUCAAUACUAUCUGUCUAGCCUCCGCUCAAGAUAGCUGAAACCUUUGCUGCAAAGUUUUUGCAGAUACAUGGAAUUAAUUGUGAAAUUGCGUUCCAUAGAGGAAGCGAAAAAUACAUAUUCCCCUCUAGUACAGAGAUCUACGAUCUCAUUGCCUUUUGAUAGAGGUCCAGGCAAGUUGGUAUGAGCUCUAAUAUGUUGUAUAAAAAAUUUCUGAUCGCGAUGCCAGAUCAACUUUUGCAACUCCUGUAAGAGUUUGCAAACUGUACUGUUAGGUUUGAUAGGUCCUGCAACCUCCAGGGCCUUAACAGCAUUCACAACAUAUGUCGAAUCAGAAAUCAGAUUAAAGGAAAACGGGCAAUUUCUAAACACUUCAAAGACAAUUUUACAUUCAAUAAUCUGGGGGGAGCCAGGCUGAUAUUGAAAUUGCACUGGAUCCUGAUGCUCUAUCUUAAAGGCUCCACAGCCCGUCUUGGAUCCAUCAGUGAAAAUAUUUGUGGCUCCAGCAAUAAGACAUUUAAAAAUGACAUUAGAGGGUGUUUUGGAUAAUGAUUAUCUAUUUCUCCUG
ensembl:lincRNA